rnacentral:rRNA from 1 species
UGGGGAAUUUUGGACAAUGGGCGAAAGCCUGAUCCAGCAAUGCCGCGUGUGUGAAGAAGGCCUUCGGGUUGUAAAGCACUUUUGUCCGGAAAGAAAUCCUUGGCUCUAAUACAGUCGGGGGGAUGACGGUACCGGAAGAAUAAGCACCGGCUAACUACGAGCCAGCAGCCGCGGUAAUACGUAGGGUGCAAGCGUUAAUCGGAAUUACUGGGCGUAAAGCGUGCGCAGGCGGUUUGCUAAGACCGAUGUGAAAUCCCCGGGCUCAACCUGGGAACUGCAUUGGUGACUGGCAGGCUAGAGUAUGGCAGAGGGGGGUAGAAUUCCACGUGUAGCAGUGAAAUGCGUAGAGAUGUGGAGGAAUACCGAUGGCGAAGGCAGCCCCCUGGGCCAAUACUGACGCUCAUGCACGAAAGCGUGGGGAGCAAACAGGAUUAGAUACCCUGGUAGUCCACGCCCUAAACGAUGUCAACUAGUUGUUGGGGAUUCAUUCCUUAGUAACGUAGCUAACGCGUGAAGUUGACCGCCUGGGGAGUACGGUCGCAAGAUUAAAA